ensembl:lncRNA
GACCAGAUGAGUUUAAAAAAAAAUUGAUUGUAGGAAGGAAAGAGAAAUGAAUAGCAAGAGUCCACUGUAUCAUUGUGUUGAUGUUCUCCUAAUCCCAGGAGGGUGCUUAGGCCAUUCUGAAACCAACCAAGAAGGAAGCUUGGAGGACAGGACACUUGACUCAGACCUGAGGGUCUCAGUGUUGUGGUCCCUUGGAGCAGCAUAUUUUCUCACGUCAGCUUCUCUCAUCUUCGUCAACUCUGACCCCCAAACCCUCUAACCAAUUCCACUCCAGCUGAAUGUCAGCUGAAUGUUUCUUGGUAGAAAUUGUUCAUCCAUUCCAGUGUUAAUGGACGUUUGGGUUGUUUCCCAAAAUUCUCCAAGCCAGGCUUCAGCAAUAUGUGAACCGUGAACUUCCUGAUGUUCAAGCUGGUUUUAGAAAAGGCAGAGGAACCAGAGAUCAAAUUGCCAACAUCCGCUGGAUCAUGGAAAAAGCAAGAGAGUUCCAGAAAAACAUCUAUUUCUGCUUUAUUGACUAUGCCAAAGCCUUUGACUCUGUGGAUCACAAUAAACUGUGGAAAAUUCUGAAAGAGAUGGAAUACCAGACCACCUGAUCUGCCUCUUGAGAAAUCUGUAUGCAGGUCAGAAAGCAACAGUUAGAACUGGACAUGGAACAACAGACUGGUUCCAAAUAGGAAAAGGAGUACGUCAAGGCUGUAUAUUGUCACCCUGCUUAUUUAACUUCUAUGCAGAGUACAUCAUGAGAAACUCUGGACUGGAAUAAGCACAAGCUGGAAUCAAGACUGCUGGGAGA